rnacentral:rRNA from 1 species
AUACGUAGGGGGCGAGCGUUGUCCGGAAUGAUUGGGCGUAAAGGGCGCGUAGGCGGCCCGGUAAGUCUGGAGUGAAAGUCCUGUUUUUAAGAUGGGAAUUGCUUUGGAUACUGUCGGGCUUGAGUGCAGGAGAGGUAAGUGGAAUUCCCAGUGUAGCGGUGAAAUGCGUAGAUAUAAGGAAGAACACCAGUGGCGAAGGCGGUCUACUGGACAGUAACUGACGCUGAGGCGCGAAAGCGUGGGGAGCAAACAGGAUUAGAUACCCUGGUAGUCCACGCUGUAAACGAUGAAUACUAGGUGUGGGGGGACUGACCCCCUCCGUGCCGCAGUUAACACAAUAAGUAUUCCACCUGGGGAGUACGGCCGCAAGGUUGAAACUUAAAGGAAUUGGCGGGG